rnacentral:snoRNA from 1 species
CCUGCCCCUAGAGGCGUUGCAGGUGUGGCUGCUGUGUCACAUGUGUGUCAGUAGGUGGCAGAGAGGAAAGAGGCUAUGUCUACGCUCAGUGUUCUGACCUGUGAACAUCUGAAUGAUUAGUAGCCUAACAGUC